AUUGAACGCUAGCGGCAGGCCUUACACAUGCAAGUCGGACGAGCGGCGGACGGGUGAGUAAUGUAUGGGGAUAUGCCUGAUGGAGGGGGAUAACUACUGGAAACGGUAGCUAAUACCGCAUACCAUCAGAUGAACCCAUAUGGGAUUAGCUUGUAGGUGAGGUAACGGCUUACCUAGGCGACGAUCCCUAGCUGGUCUGAGAGGAUGAUAAGCAAAACUGGGACUGAGACACGGCCCAGACUCCUACGGGAGGCAGCAGUGGGGAAUAGUGCACAAGGGGCGAAAGCCUGAUGCAGCCAUGCCGCGUGUAUGAUGAAGGCCUUCGGGUUGUAAAGUACUUUCAGUAGGGAGGCGUUAUCGACAGAAGAAGCACCGGCUAACUCCGUGCCAGCAGCCGCGGUAAUUC
rnacentral:rRNA from 1 species